AGUUUGCUAGCCGUCCCCGUGCUCGAAUUAACCCUUCCGAAUCUAAGUACGGAGUUAAUGAGAGGAGAGGACUUGUUUUUGGGAUUGGUUUGGAUGACCUUAAGGCUCUCCUCUCCUCUGGAAAGGCCUCUUGUUGCAACUUUUUUAACCAGUACAAUUUGGCUUGCUUAACUAAAUUUGGAGUCAGAAUUAUUGAUGAAGCAGAUGCCUUAAUACAUCUCGUGGGAAGGUUUUGGUCAGGUUGACUUUUAAUUCUUACGCGAAGGGUUUGGAUGAAGCGAAGUAGCCAUGCUCUGGAGGCUCGACUGUUUUUCUUCAAGCGACGUGUUUGGAGACGAUAAGUUCCUGUCGGUGGGCCACGAGGACGUUUUUAGCCAUUGCGGACCAGACCACCAUAACAGGAGUCAGGAUCGUAGGAGUGAAAACGUCCUCAAGUUCCCAGAACCGGCGUAGAUCCUGGUCGAGGUUUUCGAGGAUUGAAAGGUGGUGAAUUCCGACUGUGGAAGACGAGGAUUGGCAUUGGAUCGGACCUGAGAGUAUCCAUCCUAUCGUGGUAUUUUGAGCGACAGGAUUACACGCAGGGCCCUUUCUCACCCCUUGCAAUAAAAGUUGGCCAUAAAGAUCCGCUCCAAUGAUGAUAUCAAUUGGGUCCGAGCUCAUCGGUUCCUUGUCCGCAAGGUUCAAA